AUUGCCAGCAGCUAGCUCUAAGCAACUCUCACAUGGUCGCCCACUGAAGCAAAGCAGGUCUGCGCCCGAUCAGUACCUGGAUGGGAGACCACAUCAGAAAGCUUGCUGCUGGAAAUG
rnacentral:rRNA from 1 species